rnacentral:rRNA from 1 species
GAUGCUAAUACCGGAUAAAAGCUACUUUCGCAUGAAAGAAGUUAAAAGGCGGCGUAAGCUGUCGCUAAAGGAUGGACCUGCGAUGCAUUAGCUAGUUGGUAAGGUAACGGCUUACCAAGGCGAUGAUGCAUAGCCGAGUUGAGAGACUGAUCGGCCACAUUGGGACUGAGACACGGCCCAAACUCCUACGGGAGGCAGCAGGC